AUGAACGCUGGCGGCGUGCCUAAUACAUGCAAGUCGAGCGAACGGACGAGAAGCUUGCUUCUCUGAUGUUAGCGGCGGACGGGUGAGUAACACGUGGAUAACCUACCUAUAAGACUGGGAUAACUUCGGGAAACCGGAGCUAAUACCGGAUGAUAUUUUGAACCGCAUGGUUCAAAAGUGAAAGACGGUCUUGCUGUCACUUAUAGAUGGAUCCGCGCUGCAUUAGCUAGUUGGUAAGGUAACGGCUUACCAGGGCAACGAUGCAUAGCCGACCUGAGAGGGUGAUCGGCCACACUGGAACUGAGACACGGUCCAGACUCCUACGGGGGGCAGCAGUAGGGAAUCUUCCGCAAUGGGCGAAAGCCUGACGGAGCAACGCCGCGUGAGUGAUGAAGGUCUUCGGAUCGUAAAACUCUGUUAUUAGGGAAGAACAUAUGUGUAAGUAACUGUGCACAUCUUGACGGUACCUAAUCAGAAAGCCACGGCUAACUACGUG
rnacentral:rRNA from 1 species